rnacentral:rRNA from 1 species
GAUGAACGCUGGCGGCGUCCCUAAUACAUGCAAGUCGAGCGAACAGACGAGGAGCUUGCUCCUCUGACGUUAGCGGCGGACGGGUGAGUAACACGUGGAUAACCUACCUAUAAGACUGGGAUAACUUCGGGAAACCGGAGCUAAUACCGGAUAAUAUAUUGAACCGCAUGGUUCAAUAGUGAAAGACGGUUUUGCUGUCACUUAUAGAUGGAUCCGCGCCGCAUUAGCUAGUUGGUAAGGUAACGGCUUACCAAGGCGACGAUGCGUAGCCGACCUGAGAGGGUGAUCGGCCACACUGGAACUGAGACACGGUCCAGACUCCUACGGGAGGCAGCAGUAGGGAAUCUUCCGCAAUGGGCGAAAGCCUGACGGAGCAACGCCGCGUGAGUGAUGAAGGUCUUCGGAUCGUAAAACUCUGUUAUUAGGGAAGAACAAAUGUGUAAGUAACUAUGCACGUCUUGACGGUACCUAAUCAGAAAGCCACGGCUAACUACGUG